AAUCAACGCUGGCGGCGUGCCUAACACAUGCAAGUCGAACGCGAAAGCCCCGCAAGGGGUAAGUAGAGUGGCAAACGGGUGCGUAACACGUGGGUGACCUGCCUUCGAGUGGGGGAUAACGUCCCGAAAGGGACGCUAAUACCGCAUGACAUCCUGCUUUUGAAAAAGCGGAGAUCAAAGCUGGGGAUCGCAAGACCUAGCGCUUGAAGAGGGGCCCGCGCCUGAUUAGCUAGUUGGUGAGGUAACGGCUCACCAAGGCGACGAUCAGUAUCCGGCCUGAGAGGGCGGACGGACACAAUGGGACUGAGACACGGCCCAGACUCCUACGGGAGGCAGCAGUGGGGAAUUGUUCGCAAUAGGCGCAAGCCUGACGACGCAACGCCGCGUGGAGGACGAAGAUCUUCGGGUCGUAAACUCCUGUCGAGCGGGACGAACGCUUCGCGGAUGAAUAAUCCGCGGAAUUGACGGUACCGCUAAAGGAAGCCCCGGCUAACUCCGUG
rnacentral:rRNA from 1 species